rnacentral:tRNA from 1 species
CAUUUGUAUUGUAAAUGUAUUACAAUAUAUUACAUUUAUAUUACAAAUGUAAUACAUUGUAUUGCAAUUUAUUCCAUUUAUAUUACAAAUGU